rnacentral:misc_RNA from 1 species
GAUGAAGAACGUAGCGAAAUGCGAUACUUGGUGUGAAUUGCAGAAUCCCGUGAACCAUCGAGUCUUUGAACGCAAGUUGCGCCCGAAGCCAUUAGGCCGAGGGCACGCCUGCCUGGGCGUCACACGUCGUUGCCCCCCCAUCUACUCCUUCGGGAUUGCGGGGGGCGGAUGAUGGCUUCCCGUGCGCCUCGUCGCGCGGUUGGCAUAAAUGCCAAGUCCUCGGCGACGCACGCCACGACAAUCGGUGGUUGCGAAACCUCGGUUGCCCGUCGUGUGCGGUCGUCGCGCAUCGAGGGCUCGAAAAAAUUGCCGGGCUCCGGCUCGGCUUUCAACGCGAGCCCAGGUCAGGCGGGGUUACCCGCUGAAUUUAAGCAUAUCAAUAAGCGGAGGA